UUCACGACUACUAGAAGGGGAGGGGAGUGGAAAGGCUCUCAGUGAAAAAGGUCUUCUCAUAGCCUUUCUUUGCUAAGGACAUUGUGACUCUCCAGAGAGCAACAGUGAUGGCUCUAGAAUGUCUAGGAAAAAGAAGGGCUUAAUGUCAGGAGUCUGCUUGGGGCACACAACACUAGAAGAUGUCCUUCUGCACAUUGUUUCAUAUCGAGUAUGGAACCCUUCAGAUCAAAGCUUACCAAUAAAUUCAGUAUGUAGAACAGAUUAACGUAGUUGAAAUGAGGAAGAAUGAGAGUUAUCUCAACCAGCCAGCACCCCCUAUCCCCAUUCCCACACUUUCCCUCAUGGGAGGCUGUCGGGAGCACUUCGAAAACCACUGGAAAGGCCGGGCACGGUGGCUCAUGCCUGUAAUCCCAGCACUUUGGGAGGCCAAGGCAGGCAGAUCACCUGAGGUCAGGAGUUCGAAACCAGCCUGGCCAACAUGGCGAAACCCCAUCUUUACUAAAAAUACGAAAAUUAGCCAGGUCAUACUUUAAGGAGCCCAAGAGCUUUAUAACAUAACAAAAGAAACUGAAAUGUCUAAUAAAUGUGUACAUAACAA
rnacentral:lncRNA from 1 species